rnacentral:rRNA from 1 species
AUGAACGCUGGCGGCGUGCCUAAUACAUGCAAGUCGAGCGAACAGAUGAGGAGCUUGCUCCUCUGACGUUAGCGGCGGACGGGUGAGUAACACGUGGAUAACCUACCUAUAAGACUGGGAUAACUUCGGGAAACCGGAGCUAAUACCGGAUAAUAUAUUGAACCGCAUGGUUCAAUAGUGAAAGACGGUUUUGCUGUCACUUAUAGAUGGAUCCGCGCCGCAUUAGCUAGUUGGUAAGGUAACGGCUUACCAAGGCAACGAUGCGUAGCCGACCUGAGAGGGUGAUCGGCCACACUGGAACUGAGACACGGUCCAGACUCCUACGGGAGGCGGCAGUAGGGAAUCUUCCGCAAUGGGCGAAAGCCUGACGGAGCAACGCCGCGUGAGUGAUGAAGGUCUUCGGAUCGUAAAACUCUGUUAUUAGGGAAGAACAAAUGUGUAAGUAACUAUGCACGUCUUGACGGUACCUAAUCAGAAAGCCACGGCUAACUACGUG